GACGAACGCUGGCGGCGUGCUUAACACAUGCAAGUCGAACGGAAAGGCCCUGCUUGCAGGGUGCUCGAGUGGCGAACGGGUGAGUAACACGUGGGUGAUCUGCCCCUUACUUUGGGAUAAGCCUGGGAAACUGGGUCUAAUACUGGAUAGGACCAUGCUGUAGGUGGUGUGGUGGAAAGAUUAGUUUCGGUAAGGGAUGGGCUCGCGGCCUAUCAGCUUGUUGGUGGGGUAAUGGCCUACCAAGGCGUCGACGGGUAGCCGGCCUGAGAGGGUGGACGGCCACAUUGGGACUGAGAUACGGCCCAGACUCCUACGGGAGGCAGCAGUGGGGAAUAUUGCACAAUGGGCGCAAGCCUGAUGCAGCGACGCCGCGUGGGGGAUGACGGCCUUCGGGUUGUAAACUCCUUUCAGCCAUGACGAAGCCCUUGUGGUGACGGUAGUGGUAGAAGAAGCACCGGCUAACUACGU
rnacentral:rRNA from 1 species